rnacentral:rRNA from 1 species
CAUGCAAGUCGAACGAGCUCUUAGGAGCUAGUGGCGGACGGGUGAGUAACACGUGAGAAUCUGCCUCAAGGUCGGGGACAACAGUUGGAAACGACUGCUAAUACCCGAUAUGCCUAAGGGUGAAAGAUUUAUAGCCUAGAGAAGAGCUCGCGUCCGAUUAGCUAGUUGGUAGAGUAAAAGCCUACCAAGGCGACGAUCGGUAGCUGGUCUGAGAGGAUGAGCAGCCACACUGGGACUGAGACACGGCCCAGACUCCUACGGGAGGCAGCAGUGGGGAAUUUUCCGCAAUGGGCGAAAGCCUGACGGAGCAAUACCGCGUGAGGGAGGAAGGCUUUUGGGUUGUAAACCUCUUUUGUCAGGGAAGAAAAUUUGACGGUACCUGAAGGAAAAGCAUCGGCUAACUCCGUGCCAGCAGCCGCGGUAAUACGGAGGAUGCAAGCGUUAUCCGGAAUAAUUGGGCGUAAAGGGUCCGCAGGUGGCCAUUCAAGUCUGCUGUCAAAGACCGUGGCUCAACCACGGAAAGGCAGUGGAAACUGUUUAGCUAGAGUACGGUAGGGGUAGAGGGAAUUCCCAGUGUAGCGGUGAAAUGCGUAGAUAUUGGGGAGAACACCGGUGGCGAAAGCGCUCUACUGGGCCGAAACUGACA